AGGGAGAGCCUAAGGCAGGAAGGGAGCAGGGAGAGCAUGAGGCUCUCCCCGAUCCUCCUCUGCCUCAUGCUCUCCCUGCUCCCCUUCUGCCUUAGGCUCUCCCUGC